CAGCCGCCGCGGUAAUACGUAGGGUGCGAGCGUUAAUCGGAAUUACUGGGCGUAAAGCGUGCGCAGGCGGUGAUGUAAGACAGAUGUGAAAUCCCCGGGCUCAACCUGGGAACUGCAUUAGUGACUGCAUCGCUGGAGUGCGGCAGAGGGGGAUGGAAUUCCGCGUGUAGCAGUGAAAUGCGUAGAUAUGCGGAGGAACACCGAUGGCGAAGGCAAUCCCCUGGGCCUGCACUGACGCUCAUGCACGAAAGCGUGGGGAGCAAACAGGAUUAGAUACCCGGGUAGUCCCUGUCUCUUAUAC
rnacentral:rRNA from 1 species